rnacentral:rRNA from 1 species
UACGUAGGUGGCAAGCGUUGUCCAGAUUUAUUGGGUUUAAAGGGUGCGUAGGCGGCUUUGUAAGUCAGUGGUGAAAUAUGGCAGCUCAACUGUCAAGGUGCCAUUGAUACUGCGGAGCUUGAGUACAGAUGAGGUAGGCGGAAUUGACGGUGUAGCGGUGAAAUGCUUAGAUAUCGUCAAGAACACCUAUAGCGAAGGCAGCUUACUAGGCUGUAACUGACGCUGAGGCACGAAAGUGUGGGGAUCAAACAGG